rnacentral:sRNA from 1 species
CAAAUCUCCAGUGGUUGGAAGUUGGUGGCCAGUCUGCAUGCAUCCAACAAAAAUCUACAUUACAUGAUAUUGUCCAGACUAGCUUGCAAAAUUUUUAAGUGGGACUUUGGGGACCUGUAGACGAUAAGAUAUGGUCUGAGAUUUCUUACUCGUUCCUCAAAAGUUUGAUAUAAUUUUUGAUAUUUCUCCUUGAGCACAGAUACACGCCGAUAAUACCGCUUUUAUUUAUUUAUUUAUAUUCAUAUAUAUCUUUCUCUCUUUCUAUACUUCAAAAAGGAAAGAAAUGAAAAGAAAGAAAAGAGAAAUGCUUACAAAUUACCGAGUAAAUGACGCGUGUACACUGCCAUCAUAAUGCCAGCUCCUGAUUGAAUACUUCGUGGUCGUUACUAAUCGUAAUACUAGACCUUUGGAGGUACACCAGUCCGUUACGUGGCUAGAAUGCUGUUAGACCACAUUGUUGUCCUUAUUUUUAUUUGUAUUUUUAUUUGGAAAAGCCUUGACUUACAGGUAAAAACUGACGGAGUUUCACUCCAGCUUCUUUCAAAAUUGAUGCAGUCUGGGCUUUGCGAGUAGACCACUUCCGAUAUGCCAAGUUGUGCAAUUUUCACACUGCAAGUGAGGCAGGGACAGGUAUUGCAAUAUAAUGUAGCACCUUCGCCUAUCCGUUCACGCCCGGCCUCCAAUAGAGCGUUUUCUUCUGCGUGGAUGCAGAGGCAGGUGGAUAGUGCGGCACCACCACCCUCUCCACAGUUGCAACGAGGGCAUCCGCCUUCGUUACAGUUUUUCGUAUUUCGGGGCGUCCCGUUGUAUCCUGUGCUCAUAACUCGCCUUCCUCGGACUAGGACACACCCUACUCGUCGCUUCAUGCAAUUGCUUCGUUGGGCCGCCAGAGAUGCAAGUUGCAUGAAAUAUUGAUCCCAGCCAGGGCGGAGACGUCGUUCGUCAGCUAAAUCCAACUCUUCCAACGCUGAGUGAAAAUCAUGCAACGAAGACGACGAGUUGAAUAAUCGAAGCUGAGCACGGUCCGUCAUGUACGUAAUUCCAAUAUCCUUGUCGUAUAGGUGCUUGUCGUUCCAAAGAACGAAUUUCUCUAGGUCGGGAGGAUCCAAUUGCCGACGCCAAGCCCUGAUAUUGUUAGGACUAAGGAGAUCUGGUGAAAGGCAGAAAGAAUAUCCAAGUACCUUUCGGAGAAGCGGCUCCAUCUAAGGCUAACUGGGGCAUCCACGCUUACGAGAAGGAAAUAAGGUCUCAUGAGGAGCCUUUCCAGCGUUGCCUCAUCCCAGAUAUCGGUAGUAACCCAACGAUCUUGCCAUCUUCUUGUUACGAAAUCGAGUAGUUCAUCGACAGUCUGAAAUACGUGAGCCCCGUUUUUAGGGCUCUGACUUCCGAAGGAUGGAGGUAGCUCAUUUUGUCCAAGAAGAUGGUCGGGUCUAUGGGAGAGUUGGAGCUGGUGGAAUCCGUGUUUCUGGAUUAAGUAUUCAGCAACGGAGUUUUUCCCAGAGCAUAUUCCUAAAGACUACGUUAGUUUCCGUUUCUAUUUAUUUUUCCUUCUUCUCCUUCUGCACCGGAAAUGGAAAAAAAUAAAUAAAAAAAAAAUAAAAAAUAAGAAGAAUCAUAGAAACGGGGUGUUGGCAAUAGACCUCCACAUAGCCCUAUUAGCAUGGUUUCGGUCUAGAUAAUUUUUGGGGAAUAGUCGGCGAAAAGAGGUGCAGAUCGUUCUGUGAUUUCCGUUGCAAGUUUUAACGACAUUCAAUGCAAUAUCUCUUCUAGACAAAAGCAGG